rnacentral:misc_RNA from 1 species
AGGGUAAGUUUUAUUUUUUGAUUAUCUUAAUUGGGUGUUGUUUAUAUUGUGUAAAAGCUGGUUCUUUUUGCUGAUUAUUGAAAAGGGUGUGUAGGGUGCGUUUUAUUCUUGAUUAUCUCAAAUGGGUAUUGUUGAUAUUGUGUAAAAAUUGGUUCUUUAUUGGGUUUUUUUGCUGUUUAGUGAAAAGGGUAAAUUUUUAUUUUUGAUGAUCUCAAAUGGGUGUUGUAAAUAUUGGGUAAAAGUUGAUUCCUUUUGCUGAGAUUGUAUCAUCUUUUAUUGGGUUUCUUGUUUAUUAAUUUAAUGUGUAAGUGAUAGUUUUGUUGUAUUGAAGAAUUUGAGAUUGUUGUAUGCUAAUGUAUUUGGUGGGUGAGUGGGAGGUUGAGGGUCUUUAUGGAUUCAUUUUAUAGCUUAUCUGAUGUUAAUUUGGGGGCUAGUCUCCUCUUUCUCAUAAUCUCCUUAUUUAGUGUUCACUUAGUAUCUUGUUCUUCUUUUUGACAUACUCCUACUACAUGUUGCAUGUUUAUCUUGUUGUUUUGUUGUCGUUAUUUUCCUUUCAAUCAUGCUUUGAUUACACUUCUUUUGGGCCGAGGUCUAUGGGAAACAGUCUCCCUAACCUGUAAAGGUAGGAUUAAGCUCUGUGUAUGGAUAUGUUGUUGUAGUUGAUGUGAUUUUAAUUUGGGGUUAAUAAUCUUUACUAGGAUCCAUUCCCACUACCCCUUGGA